rnacentral:rRNA from 1 species
GACAGAGGUCCCGAGCGUUAGGCGGAAUCACUGGGCUUAAAGCGUGUGUAGGCGGAUCGUUAAGUGCCUUGUGAAAUCCCUCGGCUCAACCGGGGAACUGCGUCUGAGACUGGAAGGCUUGAAUUCGGGAGAGGGAUGUGGAAUUCCAGGUGUAGCGGUGAAAUGCGUAGAUAUCUGGAGGAACACCGGUGGCGAAGGCGGCAUCCUGGACCGAUAUUGACGCUGAUGCGCGAAAGCCAGGGGAGCAAACGGG